AGCUGAUACGAAAAACCUAAAUCGGAAAUGGAUAUGCUACAAUUGUUACCCAUAUGGAUUACAAUGAAAAUAUUUAAACAUUUAGACAACAAAACAUUAAAACUCGUAAAAGAUGUUAAUAAAUAUUGGUCGUUUGUGGUCGAUUGCAUCAACCAGGAAGAGAAAGGACGUAAAAAACUUGAUGAUUGGAUUGAAUCAAUAGAAAAUGAUCUUGGAUUGAAAGAUUAUACAGCAGUUUUUCCAUCAAAGUUCAAACCCGAAUUUAGAUUUCGACGGCAAAAUGAAAAAAAUAUAGCAUGCGAUCUACGUGUACAUAAUUCCUUAAGAGAAGAAACAAACAUUACAUUACAACCAACACAUUUUUCAGCGCUCAGUAAUAUUGUUAAUAGCGCUGAAUUUGAUUUCCGAAUGCCCGUUAACGAACUUCAAUCUUUUCGACGCAUGCUGAUAAAUGACGUCGACAAUUCCAUGAAGUUCCUACAUACCCACCCAUCUUGUAUUCAUUAUGAUAAUGUCACUACUAAAGCAGUACCGAUAAGCGAAAUUCCAUUAACUGGUAAAAUCGUCGAAGAAUUUAACACACAGAAGGAAACAAGUUACGAUUAUAUUCCACUUGAGUUAAAAGAAGCGAUGGACAGAAGUUUGUAUAUCGAAAGUAAUAAAAUUCAACCACGAUUUAUUCGAUGGUUUCCUUUAACGCACAUGGUGGAGAUUGACGAGGUGAUGAAUUCAAUAGUACAAAAAUCUAUGGUAAAUGUCAAAGAAAGUAAACCAUCAAUGCGCUAUGAUUCAUUCAUGCCUACAAUAAGCAUGGCAGAUAUGAAAGCAAGCAAUGACAAAGAUAUUCGAAGUUUUGAAAGCAAGUCGGAUCCGCUUGUGGCAAAUCAUAUCACCUCGGCAACUGAAACGGAUUGUAAGAGAGGAACAAG